ensembl:snRNA U4 U4 spliceosomal RNA
AGCUUUUACAGUGGCAGUAUCAUAGCCAAUGAGGUUUAUCUGAGGCAUGAUUAUUGCUAAUUGAAAACUUUAUUUCUUGGGAAAAUAGAAUAUAGCUAUAUCGCUGACAUAGUUACUGACAUCACCCAAGUUA